AGCGGGUAGGGCGUAGGCAGCGGGAAUUGCGCCUUGAUUGAAUCAGGUGGUGGGCGUUUGGCGUUGCACCUUUAAAUGUAGCAAGCUGGCGGUUCCUCUGAUUAGUGUUACUAUAGAUUCUUGGUUCCUUGGACUCUUGGUUGGUUGUACGAGUUGAUCUCGACUCGGUGUUUGUGGGUUAUUCAGUGCGGUGGUUACAUCUAGCUCCGUCUUCACGAGCCCUCACCGGCUACGGAUUGUGUCUGCGUGUUUCAAUGAAAAUUCGCUGAUUUAGAGUAUGACCACUACAAGUUUGCCGAGUGCUGUUUGUUGUGCUGAGAAUGUAAGUUCACUGGCUUCCUUUUUUUCCCUCACGUGUUUACAUCGGUGUUACGGAGCGCUUGUUUAUAUGUGUGUAAUUGUGUUGACUCGUCAUGUCUGUAUUAUAGAUUGGCCUGGGAAUGUAUGAGUAAAAACCAGACGGAAUAAGGCGAUUGCUACAGUAUUACAACUAAACAAGCUCUUGGUUCGACGCUGCGGUCUGUGUCCAUACAGGAGGACCGUCAUAUGCCAUCUUGGCCACUGUUUUUCCUGUGCCCUGUUUUUAGUAUUCAGUUGUGUGUGUGUGUGUGUGUGUGUGUGUGGGAGGAAGGCCCACUGUGUUGCUCAUUAGUCUUCAUCUGUGUGCGUUGCUGUAUGUUUUAUGUUUGUAUCUUGGGCCAUUGGGUUGGUGCAAUAUCCUGGGACGGGGAAUAACAAUUUUGUUGUGUGGUCACUGGUUUGCUGAGUGUAAAUUUAUUUUGUUUUCUGUGCAUAUGAUUUGUGAUGUGCCUUAUUUAUUCUGUAUUUGCUGAUUUGAGUUUUGCUGAUUUUUGUUAUACACAUUUUGAUUUUGCACUUUGUUGUCCCUGUCCCUGAAUUUGUUGACCAGAGGCCUAAUGUUUGUUAUUUUAAGUGUGUCUAACUGGAGAAAAAUAAAAUAAACUGUUUCUAUUUUUAUAAUA